UAGCUCACUGGGAAGCCGCAGAGAAGGUCAGCGUGCUCGGGGAAGGCUUGGUGCGGUCGGAACAGCGACGGGGAUCUCGGCGGCCCGAGGUUGAAGAGGACAGCGGCGGGGACGAUGCAGGGGCUCCGGCGUCAUGCGGCUUGGCUAGUCGACAUAGUCGACGACGGCGAACCGUCCGGACACGAUGAGAGGGUGCAGGGACAGCGUUGGACAUGGCUGCGGCGAGCGACGGCGACGGUGACGUCUCGGGCGAUGUCGGGGAGGGCGAGAGAGAGGAACCAGAGGGAGGAGUGAAUGUCUGCGAGGUCGGGGAGAGAGAGGGGGGUCGUCCCACAUUGACAGCUCAACGAGGGGAGCGGCGAGGCGGCGGGCAGCUGCAUGGCGCGCUUGCUGUGCUCACCGUCGAGUAGCUGCUUGCCUGCAUGGCCAAGCCAAGCAGCUCGCUGGAGCGUUGGCUGGGCUGGGCCAGCAGGUGGGCCUGCUGGGGUGUGCGCCAGGUAAGCUUUCUCUUUCUCUCUUUUCCUGUUUGUUUUCUUUUUCUAUUUUUCUGUAACUUUAGGGCUUUAUUAAAAAUACUUAGGCACUUGCUAAAAUCCUGAAAAUAAUUGUGGGCUCUGUCGGGAUUAUUCCUAACAGCCCUCACUUAACUCCAGAAUUAUUUGGGCAUUUAAAAUAUUUUAUAGCAUUUAAAUGCCCAAAUUCAAAUACUUAUGAUUUAAUUCAAAGAAUCCAGAAUGUCCUAGAAAAGAGUGCACCAUUUUUGCCAGGGGUUUUAACCCAAUCCAGAAAUGAUGAACAUUUUGUGAAGGGCAUUUUGGGUUCAUUGAAAAUAAUUUUAGUAAACCCUAGUUGUUUCCAGGAGGUUGUUGGGGGUUCUGUCAUCCCCAUUUCAAGUUUCUGUAAAAGUAGACAUGACGCAACACUCUAAUGCAUGACUAGCUAGGAUGUGACAACUCACCCCACUCGAACGAAUCUCGUCCCGAGAUUUAGAAUCCGCCGGGAAGAAAGUGGGGUACUCGAGUCGAAGACGAUCCUCCCUUUCCCAAGUGGCUUCUUUCUCGGAAUGGUGUGACCAUUGAACCUUGAGAAACUUGAUAUUAUGUCGUCGAGUGAUACGCUCGGCUUGAUCAAGGAUACGAACGAGAUAUUCCCGAUAUGAGAGGUUAUCUUGUAGAUCAAGCGUUUCGUGGUCCACUCCACGGACAGGAUCCGCGAAGCAACGCAUGAGUUGAGAAACGUGGAAGACAUCGUGAACUCUGGAAAGAUGCGAAGGUAGUUCCAAUUGGUAGGCAACUUCUCCUCAUUUGGCAAGAAUGCGAAAGGGUCCAAUGUAACGAGGAGCCAACUUGCCCUUGAUACCGAAUCAAUGGGUUCCCUUUAACGGAGUAACCCGAAGGUAAGCCUUCUCGCCGACUUCAUAAGUCAUGAGCUUAUGUUUACGAUCAUAUUGGCUCUUUUGACGAGAUUGGGCUGUUUUCAAUUUCUCACGAAUAACACGAACCUGCUCCUCUGCUUCCUGAAUCAUAUCCGGGCCAAAGAGUUGUCUUUCCCCUGUUUCUGACCAGUUAAGAGGCGUUCGACAUUUUCGUCCAUAGAGAACUUCGAAAGGAGCUUUGCCCAAGCUAGCUUGAUAACUAUUAUUAUAAGCAAACUCCACGAAUGGAAGGCAUUUCUCCCAACCCACUCCGAAUGAGAUGACAGAAGCUCGGAGCAUAUCUUCCAAAAUUUGAUUGACUCGCUCUACUUGACCACUUGAUUGAGGAUGGAAGGCGGUGCUAAAAGAGAGACGAGUUCCCUUAGCAUUUUGGAAACUUUCCCAAAAUCGAGAGGUGAAGAGACUCCCACGGUCUGAGUUAAUUUCCAAUGGGACACCAUGAAGCGACACUAUUUGGGAGAUGUAUAAUUCAGCUAGCUGGCUAGCGGUGAUACUCUCACGAACAUGUAGGAAAUGGGCUACUUUGGAAAGACGGUCGAUCACGACGAAGAUGGCAUUAUUCCCUCUCUUGGUCCUGGGAAACCCAAUAAUGAAAUCCAUACUGAUUUUAUCCCAUUUCCACUCAUGAAUAGCCAAAGGUUGAAGGGUGCCAGCAGGCCGUUGGUGCUCUGCUUUAACACGACGACAGACGUCGCAACUAGCAAUGUAUUGAGCAAUUUCUCUCUUCAUCCUAGUCCACCAAAACCUCUGGCGUAGGUCUUGAUACAUUUUGGUACUACCGGGAUGAAUGCUGAGAGGGGAUUCAUGAGCAUCCUUAAGAAUCAACUAGCAUAAAUGUUGUUUCUUGGGAACCACCAAGCGAUUCUCGAAGAAGACAACAGCUCGCUCAUCCAUGGAAAAACAUUUAGCAACUCCGCUAGCGAUGUUCUCCUUAAUCUGGGAUAUGCCCUUAUCAUACCGCUGGGCGGUUAUGAUCUGAUCCAUAAGGUUAGGCUUUGCCACCAGGGUGGAUAGGAAACCUUGAGGAACAAUGUGAAGAUUAAGCUUACAAAAUUCCUCAUGGAGAAGUGGUUGACUUUGUUGUAACAUCAGGUUGUUACAAUAAGAUUUACGACUUAGCGCAUCAGCCAUGACAUUGGCUUUGCCCGGGGUGUAAGUUAUUCCUAAGUCGUAAUCCGAGAUCAACUCGACCCAACGUUGUUGUCUGAGAUUCAAAUCCGGUUGGGUGAAGAUAUAUUUCAAACUUUGGUGAUCGGUGAAGAUCUCGCAAUGAUUACUGAGAAGGUAAUGUCGCCAAGUUUUAAGUGCAUGGACUACACCUGCAAGCUCUAGAUCAUGUGUGGGAUAAUUUUCCUCAUGUGGGUGUAAUUGCCAUGAAGCAUAGGCAAUUACCUGACGAUCUUGCAUGAGUAUGCAACCUAGUCCUUAACCCACGUUGAAUGAGAAGAGAAUGACUCAGAUCAGAGAGCAUAAGGUAAAGGAGUAAAAAGAGCCUUACGUUCCCUCCCACAAUCAAUUCCCCUAUAUAUAACUAAAGCAUUUCUAGACUCGACAUUGACCAGUUUGGCUCAACGAACCUACAGGCAGUCCGGCUCUGAUGCCAACGCUGUCAGGACCACGAUUCCAAGUCACAUCGAUCUAGCCGGUAACACCUCAUAUCACAUUGUGGCCUCACGCACGGUAUCCCCACGGGUGUCGCCUUACCAUGGCCCGGGACCGUUUGCGCCUUUUGGCUCACGUAUAUGAUAGGGUCGCUAGCAUCCAUAUGACAGAGAACCCGGGCCGACAUGGCUAGUCGAGAACCCAAAGCGGCAGAGACCUAUGGAGACAGGCAUACAUGAAUCACAUCGAGCAUGUCGGUCAUCAGCGAGUGAAUCCGGGCUGUAGCACUGGGCUAACAGGACUCCAUGGAACUCGGGCUGUAGCAGGCUAGGUAGGACUCCGGAUGUCACCGCGUGACAUUUCCCCGAAGGGACAGACAUAGGAAUGAAGUGAAACACAUGUCGGCCAGUCAAGUGUCCUGAGCAGUAGUGUUGGGCUAGCAGGACUCCGGUGAACCGGGCUGUAGCGGACUACUAUGGCUCGAGGAACACUAGACUACAUUUCCCCAUAAGAAAGGCUGCCAAGGAUAAACAACUAGAUUGUCGGAUCCCACACAUACCAAGCAUUUCAAUCAUGCACACAAUAUGCUCGAUAUGUGUAAAUACAACAUGGCAUCACAACAAAACUCUACAACUCAAGUACUUUAUUUAAAGGCUCCAGAGAGCCAGACAUAACAUGUUCAUAUAGGUAGGGGUCACAUGACCCGACACUCAAGUCAUACAAGCAUACAAGAACAUGUGGAAGCAAAUAGUCUGAGUACAGACACUAGAAAGAAAGAAGGCUUCUCGAAGCCUGUCUAUCUACAUAGGGCCCUCCAUGGCCAGGAUCACCACCUGGGUGGCAAGUCACUCAUCGAUGUCGAGAUCUAUAUAAAACCCAUCGGAGGGGCGGUGUUGUCGUCUGAAAACAGUAAUUAAACAAACAUGAGUACAAAGGUACUCAGCAAGUCUUACAUCAGAACCUACUAUACAUGUUCAUUCUCAAGAAGGUGGUGGAGUUAUUGCAGCAAGCUAGCUUUGACUCUUGGCUAAGCUAUCCUACGGGACACCACUUAGUAAAAUAGUUUUCGCACACGAGUCCACUAAUCACCAACACAAUACACCAUCAGGGAUCCUCCCUCGUCAUCCUACGAGAGGGCCAUCCUCGGUACUCACACUUAUCUUGAGUCUUUUAGUAGUAUCCAUUAACUUGUCUAUGAACUGUAUAGGCAACCAAGUAGUCCUUUACCGCGGACGCGGCUAUUCGAAUAGUUACCGCCGUUUACACGACAUGUACUCGACAACCUUCAAGCGGAAGCCCAACGAGGGUGUCGGCCACGGCCUACCUAAACACUCAAGCCUCUAGUCCAGGUUUAUCGCCUAUCCAGGUUCCAUCCGCAGGGAGUCCGGCCGAGGUUUCCACACGGCCCCGAACGAUGUGAACGGGGUUCCCGAGACACCAAAUGGGUGACUUGGUACACCGUGCCAUGAUGUAUCUACCGCAACAUAGCCCACCCCUAGGGUCAGCGCUACGCACGGCCGCCAACACAUAACCUACACACACCAGAAACUAAUUCCAACUCCUGGACAGAGUACUAGGGUGAUUAAGAAGCCGAGAGGGUCAAUUAAGGAUCCCAAUGCAUGGUAGUAGCUGAUUCUUAAAAUCACACAUACAGAUCUCAGUUCUUAGGGACGGCCUCAAUGAAACAACCCACCAUGUACUACUACAUGGCCUCUCAUCGAUACCUUUACCAAAUCAUGUUCAACACAUCCCUCACGUUACCGACCUAAUCAUUUCACUCUAGCCCAUCACCCAGAUGAACCAGACCUGACACAACUCUAAGCAUAGCAGGCAUAGCAAGGUAGGAAACACAUACAAGGCUCAAUCAACUCCUACACAUGCUAGUGGGUUUCAUCAAGUUACUGUGGCAAUGACAGGUCAUGCAGAGGAUAAGGGUUCAACUACCGUAACACACAGUAGUUCGAAACGUUGUUGUCUUAAUGCAGUAAAGGAGAGCAGAGGCGAGAACAUGGGAUUGUAUCGAUAUGAUCAAUGGGGCUGCUUGCCUGAUGGAGUGGUAGUAGGGUACUGCCCUUCAGUUGGAUACUUGCAAAUAUCCUCGGAGGCAGAACCUACCACGAAGGACACACAGAACAUAAUCAACACAUGACAAUAUGCAACAAUAUGAUGCAUGCUAUGACAUGGCAAAAUGAUGUGUCCUGCCUAAUGCAAUGUGAAACAAGUUGAAAUGGGUCCAUUUGAACCAAAGAUUCAAAUGGAAGUUAAAGUUCUUAUGCAUAAUAAGUGUGUAAGCUUGUUUCGCCUAAACAGCAAGCUUAAAGUGGUUUGUCAUGCAUGAAACCAUUACAGAUGGAUAGAUUGAAUUUUUCUGAUCAUUUUUCAUAUAUAAUUUGUUUGAUUUGGAGCUAUGGUUGAUUUUUUAUGAUUUUUAGAAGUUUUGGCUAUUUUCUAGAAUUUCCAAUAUAAAAAUAAAUCCAGAAAAUGAAUAAUUGCGUCAGCACUGCGUCACUGUGACGUCAGUGAGUCAAAGGCGCCAGGGCCAGUCAAACCUGACUGGUGGGCCCUGUCUGUCAGUGUCUCAGCUAACUAACAUGAUUAAGUUAAUACUAACUAACUGUCAGUGGGGCCUGGCCCACAUGUCAAUGACCUAAACUAAUUAUAAUUAGUUAGCACUAAUCCUAAACUAAUUAACAGGCCGGCCCCACCUAUCAUAGGCUCAGGGGGGGAGUCAACCUGGGCCCACACGAGUCAGGCGUGGUCAACUCGUCAGUCAGCGGGUCAAAGCCUGCCGGCGUUUAGCCGCCGGCGAGGCCAGACGCGGCGGUGCGCUGCGGGAUUUGCCCACAUGGCAUCAUUUGCUGCGCGGAGAGUAGCUACGGGUAGCUGGUGCUCGCCCGCAUCCAGCCGUGGUGAUGGCUUGGCCGGGGAGUGGCCGGAGCAUCGCCGGCGACGAGUGAGGCCGAAGCUCGGGUCAGCUCGUGCGCGUGGCUGCAGUGGCCUAGGCGGCGUGGCGCUUGCACCUACAACAUCUACGUGAUGCAGUGAGUGUGACGGGCAUAAGCCCGUGACCAAAAGGUCACCGGAGCAUCGCCGACGACGUGGUCAGGCAGCGGUGCGUUCGGACGGAAAAGGCACGGCGGCUACAGAGCUCUAGCGACGAAGCGGAGAGAAGGGGGAGGAGCAGUAGCUCACUGGGAAGCCGCAGAGAAGGUCAGCGUGCUCGGGGAAGGCUCGGUGCGGUCGGAACGGCGACGGGGAUCUCGGCGGCCCGAGGUUGAAGACGACGGCGGCGGGGACGAUGCAGGGGCUCCGGCGUCGUGCGGCUUGGCUAGUGAACAUAGUCGACGACGACGAAUCGUCCGGACACGGUGAGAGGGCGCGGGGACGGCGUUGGACGUGGCUGCGGCGAGCGGCGGCGACAGUGACGUCUCGGGCGACGUCGGGGAGGGCGAGAGAGAGGAACCAGAGGGAAGAGCGAAUGUCUGCGAGGUCGGGGAGAGAGAGGGGGGUCAUCCCACGUCGACAGCUCGACGAGGGGAGCGGCGAGGCGGCGGGCAGCUGCGUGGCGCGCAUGCUGUGCUCGCCGUCGAGCAGCUGCUUGCCUGCCUGGCCAAGCCAAGCAGCUCGCUGGAGCGUUGGCUGGGCUGGGCCGGCAGG
rnacentral:lncRNA from 1 species